rnacentral:lncRNA from 1 species
AUGAACCGGUUGUGGAUUGCAGUUUUAGUGGUUUUAACCAUUGCAGUUGUACGAAUGUGUGACUGUCGGAAGGACUCAACAGGUGGUGGACAGGAGAUGUGGGAUCAGCUCCGGGCGCGAGCUAGGGGGCAAGGUCACUCCGCAGGGGGAGCGAACGACGCUGACCCCGCCAGACCAUCCAGAGAAAGCUCGCACAGGUCCUCUCACAAUGUAUCGCCCUCCGGUCGCGGGGCUCCUGUGAGCUCAUUAUAUCAACGAGAUAACAGGCACGCGACGGUAAUUAAACCAGUUCCAGCUCCCAUUACAGAAGCUUCCCACCGGGCGGACGAUUCCACCGUUGCACAAGAUGCUGCGCGCAGAGCCGCAAGACAGCUCGGCACCCAUCACUCAUCACAGUACAGACCCCGAAUAAUUUACAGACAGAGCAACAAACCCAGCUCCACGCACACCAGGCGCCUUGCAGGGCCUAAUGUAUGUGGAGGUCACCAGUGCUGCUCUGGAUGGGCUGUGGCUUCUGGGACCAAGCGCUGUAUAAAGCGUAAGUAUUCAUAUCUGCCCUUAGGUAAACAAUCAUUCAUGACUGUCUCUUGACCAUCUCUCUCAAUCAUGUCUCAAGUUGUUAACUGCUCAUUCUCAGGCUUGGCCCUGGGUAUGAAACACACCAAAUCCAAUGCCUACGAACUGUGUAAGAAUAUAGUGUCAGAUGGUAUUACGAGUGUGUCAAUAUUCCCUCCAUGGUCAUGUUAUUCAUGUGGAUUUGCAUGUAGAGUUUUAACAUGUAAAUUACCAGUGCUUAGCAUUUGGCUCGCUCUGUUGGACGCAAGGGCUUCAUUUAGGGUGUAACUGCACUAUUUUUACCACAGAAAUAUUGGAUCUUAACUGCCGCGUAAAAGUCAAUGGCAGAUACUGGGGGGGGAGUGAAUAAUUGCCCACUUUUUAAAACACAAUUUCGGCAGAAUUUUAACAGCUUACAAGUGUUACCAAGCUUUUCAUUGUAACAUUCUUGACAUCUGCCUUUUUACUGUUCUGUGGGUUGUUAAGUGCUCUGUAUGCUUCCUAGUAGGGGCAGCAGCCUUAAAGAAUCUCUUUUGUUGAGAGAGGAUUGUGACCUACAAACCAGCUCCUGGUUGCAAAUAUUAUUCUACAGCCUACCAAAACAUUUUGAGAAUGUUUUUCCUUUUAUUUGUGUCUGUCAUCAUGUUGCAGACUUAAAUAUCAGGAUUUAUAUGAGAAGCUGUUUAAUAGAGAGUUAUCUUUAAGCUUUACAAGCACAGAAUGUGAAACCCUCACAACCUGCAUUUCUAGGCUGAAACAGUUCCCACAAAGACAAGACAGCAGUACACACACACACAUACACUGUCCCAAACUACAGAAGCUGAUGUUGUUUGCCUAUCAACUCAGUCAAUAAAGUCACCUUAUCCGAUUACAAAGCAAGCUCAUUAGCCAGCCUCCUCAUUAUCCCUCUCUCCCUCCCACCUCUGGUUCUGCCUCUUUUUCUCAAGACAGCCAAAGGCACACGUACAGAGGUGUCAAUUACUUAGGUUACUUAGAAAGUAACUUGUCCCUUCUAAACCAUUCAUGUUAAACACAGUACUGUAGACCAUCUAAGAAGGUCUCCAUCCCACUACCAUCUGGUAUCUGUUAGUAGUUUGGCCCUCACCCAGGUGUGGCUGGAGGGUAGGGUACUAUCAGCUGUGUAGUGAACCCCACACCACGACCCCGGGUCGGGCCCUGGCCUGGUGCUAACACAAGGACCCCCCUUAAUGGAGAACCUCCUCCGUGGUGGUGGAAACCCCUCACUAACUAUCACAUUCUCGGAGUGUGUUACUGCAGACCCUAACAGGGCAGCAGUAGUUGGGGGCGGCCGCAUGAGAAAACAUUUUAACUAACCCUGGGGGAAAGAAAAGGAUGUCAACUGGGCCAUAAGUAAAAACAUAUCCUCACUGAGCCACGUCGAGAAAAUUCUAUGUGAAGAAUUUGAAGUGGUAAGUUUCACCUGGGAAAGCGGAUUUGGGACUGUGACUUUGUUGUCUUGUUGUGGUUUCUCAACAAUACAUGCUUGUUGAAUCAGGUUGAAGUCACAGCAAACACUGUACAUGGCAGGAGUUAGCUUGUUAGUUGUCCAGUUAGAAUGCCAACAAGGAUUUCUAUUUUUAUUUUUUAUUGAUUUGAAAUUUAAGCCAUUUUUCUCCCCAAUUUCGUGAUAUCCAAUUGUUUAGUAGCUACUAUCUUGUCUCAUCGCUACAACUCCCGUAUGGGCUCGGGAGAGACGAAGGUUGAAAGUCAUGGGUCCUCCGAUACACAACCCAACCAAGCCGCACUGCUUCUUAACACAGCGCGCAUUCAACCAGGAAGCCAGCCGCACCAAUGUGUCGGAGGAAACACUGUGCACCUGGCAACCUUGGUUAGCGCGCACUGUACAGUUGAAGUCGGAAGUUUACAUACACUUGUGUGAAGAGUAUGAAGGAAUGUGAAGGAAUGUGUGUGGCGUCAAUAUGCGUGUGUGUGUGUGUGUCAGUGUGUGUGUGGUUAGAGUCCAGUGAGUGUACAUGGAGCUUGUGCAAGAGAGUCAGUGCAACAAAGAAUAAUACAGUUGAAGUCGGAAGUUUACAUACACUUAUACCCUGACUACACCGCUCGCGUCUUGUGCGCGAGCAUGGCAAAAUAAAUGUAGGAAUCUGUAUUAUUCAAUUAUUGCACCCCCACUGCUCACACGCGUCAACGAGCAUCUGCGUUGCCAAGGGCUAAAAUAGAAGCCAGUCCUAUUUCUGAUGCAGAUCACGCUGCAAGUCCUGCCUCUCCCAUCUCCUCAUUGGUUUAUAGAAGCAGGUACCCACGUGCCAUCUCCUCAUUGGUUAUACCCACGUGGGUGAUUGAAAGACAAACUGUUUUGCCGGUUGUCGUGGUAAUACAAUGAAAGUGUAGAUGCCAAUCACCAUAUAAGUUCAAAGAUGAAAAAGUCUGGAAGGAGGAGAGAUGACGAGAAACUAUUCGGUUGACCGUUUUAUGUGUCGAUUAAUUGUCGGAGUAGAGGACCUUGUGCAUUUCAGGUUAAGUAACAAUUCAAUGUUUAUAUCUCAGGACAAAUUUGCUAGCAACAGCAAGCUAGCUAAAUAUAACAAAUUAGCUAGCAAGUGCAUGCUAACUAGCUAAAUUGCCAUACAUUUUUAAUGCUUUUCGACCUGUCCCCAAAGUAAUGUAAUUGGUUCAGAGUUUGUUUUGAUAUUUUAGCCUACGUGUCGUGAUCGCGUUUGGUGUAGAGGGACAAAAUCAAUUUAUGCACAAUAGCGCACGAGCACAGCCGGUUUGGGUUCCGUGUUAGGUUGGAGUCAUUAAAACUUGUUUUUCAACCACUCCACAAAUUUCUUGAUAACAAACUAUAGUUUUGGCAAGUCGGUUAGGACAUCUACUUUGUGCAUGACACAAGUCAUUUUUCCAACAAUUGUUUACAGACAGAUUAUUUCACUUAUAAUUCACUGUAUCACAAUUCCAGUGGGUCAGAAGUUUACAUACACUAAGUUGACUCUGCCUUUAAACAGCUUGGAAAAUUCCAGAAAAUGAUAUCAUGGCUUUAGAAGCUUCUGAUAGGCUAAUUGACAUCAUUUGAGUCAAUUGGAGGUGUACCUGUGGAUGUAUUUCAAGGCCAACUUUCAAACUCAGUGCCUCUUGAUUUUCCCAUGGUGUCAAGCAAAAAGAAAUCAGCCAAGACCGCAGAAUUUUUUUUGUAGACCUCCACAAGUCUGGUUCAUCCUUGGGAACAACUUCCAAAAGCCUGAAGGUACCACGUUUAUCUGUACAAACAAUAGCAUGCAAGUAUAAACAUCAUGGGACCGCACAGCUGUCAUAUCGCUCAGGACGGAGACGCGUUCUGUCUCCUAGAGAUGAACGUACUUUGGUGCGAAAAGUGCAAAUCAAUCCCAGAACAACAGCAAAGGACCAGGGGAAGAUGCUGGAGGAAAUAGGUACAAAGUCCUAUAUCGACUUAAACUGAAAGGCUGCUCAGCAAGGAAGAAGCCACUGCUCCAAAACCGCCAUAAAAAAGCCAGUCUACGGUUUGCAACUGCACAUGAGGACAAAGAUCGUACUUUUUUGGGAAAUGACUGAUGAAACAAAAAAGGAACUGACCAUUGUUAUGUUUGGAGGAAAAAGGGUGAGGCUUGCAAGCCAAAGAACACCAUCUCAAUCGUGAAGCACGUGGUUGGCAGCAUAAUGUUGUGGAAGUGCUUUGCUGCAGGAGGGACUGGUGAACUUCACGAAAUAGAAUGCAUCAGGAGGAAGGAGAAAUAUGUGGAUAUAUUGAAGCAACAUCUCAAGACAUCAGUCAGGAAGUUAAAGCUUGGUCGCAAAUGGGUCUUCCAAAUGGACAAUGACCACAAGCAUACUUCCACAGUUGUGGACAACAAAGUCAAGGUAAUAGAGUGGCCAUCACAAAGCACUGACCUCAAUCCUAUAGAAAAUUUGUGGGCAGAACUGAAAAAGUGUAUGCGAGCAAGGAGGCCUACAAACCUGACUCAGUUACACCAGCUCUGUCAGGAGGAAUGGGCCCAAAUUCACCCAACUUAUUGUGGGAAGCUUGUGAAAGGCUACCCCAAACGUUUGACCCAAGUUAAACAAUUUAAAGGCAAUGCUACCAAAUACUAAUUGAGUGUAUGUAAACUUCUGAUCCACUGGGAAUGUGAUGAAAGAAAUAAAGCUGAAAUAAAUAAUUCUCUCUACUAUUAUUCUGAUAUUUCACAUUCUUAAAAUGAAAUGGUGAUCUUAACUGACCUAAGACAGGGGAUUUUUACUUUGAUUAAAUGUCAGGAAUUAUGAAAAACUGAGUUUAAAUGUAUUUGGCUAAGGUGUAUGUAAAUUUCCGACUUCAACUGUAUAUACAGUACCAGUCAAAAGUUUGGACACACCUGCUCAUUCCAGGUUUUUCUUUAUGGAAUCAUGUAGUAUGCAAAAAUGUCUAAUAUAAAAUAUAUUUUGAUUUGUUUAACACAUUUUUGGUUACUGCAUGAUUCCAUAUGUGUUAUUUCAUAGUUUUGAUGUCUUAGUAAAAAUUGUAAAAAUAAAGA